GAAUAUUAAUGCUGAUAACAUCAAAGCAUUGUGUUCUGAUACUACAGCGUCAAAUACGCUGUAGUAUUUUGGAAGUUAUAACACCAAUCAAAGAUGAAAUUUUGAAAUUCGUUAAUAAUCAAAUAGAAAUGGAUCAUUGUCGUGACGAUUACCGUGAACUCCUGCAAUUAUCAUCGAUAUUUUUGAGUGCUACUACCACAAAUAUUACAUUUAAGCGUCCUGGAGCCGUCCAUCAUGCAAGGUGGAUGGCUAAAGCAAUAUAUAGUUUAAAAAUUUUUU